CGCUAGCUACAGGCUUAACACAUGCAAGUCGAGGGGCAGCAUGGUCUUAGCUUGCUAAGGCCGAUGGCGACCGGCGCACGGGUGAGUAACGCGUAUCCAACCUGCCUUACACUCUUGGACAGCCUUCUGAAAGGGAGAUUAAUACAAGAUGUUAUCAUGAGUAAGCAUUUUCACAUGAUUAAAGGUUUACCGGUGUAAGAUGGGGAUGCGUUCCAUUAGAUAGUAGGCGGGGUAACGGCCCACCUAGUCUUCGAUGGAUAGGGGUUCUGAGAGGAAGGUCCCCCACAUUGGAACUGAGACACGGUCCAAACUCCUACGGGAGGCAGCAGUGAGGAAUAUUGGUCAAUGGACGAGAGUCUGAACCAGCCAAGUAGCGUGAAGGAUGAAGGUUCUAUGGAUUGUAAACUUCUUUUAUACGGGAAUAAACGAAUCCACGUGUGGAUUUUUGCAUGUACCGUAUGAAUAAGGAUCGGCUAACUCCGUGCCAGCAGCCGCGGUAAUACGGAGGAUCCGAGCGUUAUCCGGAUUUAUUGGGUUUAAAGGGAGCGUAGAUGGGUUGUUAAGUCAGUUGUGAAAGUUUGCGGCUCAACCGUAAAAUUGCAAUUGAUACUGGCAGUCUUGAGUACAGUUGAGGUAGGCGGAAUUCGUGGUGUAGCGGUGAAAUGCUUAGAUAUCACGAAGAACUCCGAUUGCGAAGGCAGCUUACUAACCUGUAACUGACAUUGAUGCUCGAAAGUGUGGGUAUCAAACAGGAUUAGAUACCCUGGUAGUCCACACGGUAAACGAUGAAUACUCGCUGUAGGCGAUAUACAGUCUGCGGCCAAGCGAAAGCAUUAAGUAUUCCACCUGGGGAGUACGCCGGCAACGGUGAAACUCAAAGGAAUUGACGGGGGCCCGCACAAGCGGAGGAACAUGUGGUUUAAUUCGAUGAUACGCGAGGAACCUUACCCGGGCUUAAAUUGCAACCGAAUAUGGCGGAAACGCUAUAGCUAGCAAUAGCGGUUGUGAAGGUGCUGCAUGGUUGUCGUCAGCUCGUGCCGUGAGGUGUCGGCUUAAGUGCCAUAACGAGCGCAACCCUUGCCGAUAGUUACUAACAGGUCAUGCUGAGGACUCUGUCGGGACUGCCAUCGUAAGAUGUGAGGAAGGUGGGGAUGACGUCAAAUCAGCACGGCCCUUACGUCCGGGGCUACACACGUGUUACAAUGGGGGGUACAGAGGGCUGCUACCACGCAAGUGGAUGCCAAUCCCAAAAACCUCUCUCAGUUCGGAUUGAAGACUGCAACCCGACUUCAUGAAGCUGGAUUCGCUAGUAAUCGCGCAUCAGCCACGGCGCGGUGAAUACGUUCCCGGGCCUUGUACACACCGCCCGUCAAGCCAUGGGAGCCGGGGGUACCUGAAGUGCGUAACCGCAAGGAGCGCCCUAGGGUAAAACUGGAGACUG
rnacentral:rRNA from 1 species